rnacentral:rRNA from 1 species
UACGAAGGGGACUAGCGUUGUUCGGAAUCACUGGGCGUAAAGCGCACGUAGGCGGAUUUGUAAGUCAGGGGUGAAAUCCCGGGGCUCAACCUCGGAACUGCCUUUGAUACUGCGGAUCUUGAGUCCGAUAGAGGUGGGUGGAAUUCCUAGUGUAGAGGUGAAAUUCGUAGAUAUUAGGAAGAACACCGGUGGCGAAGGCGGCCCACUGGAUCGGUACUGACGCUGAGGUGCGAAAGCGUGGGGAGCAAACAGG